rnacentral:misc_RNA from 1 species
GAUGAAGAACGCAGCGAAAUGCGAUAAGUAAUGUGAAUUGCAGAAUUCAGUGAAUCAUCGAAUCUUUGAACGCACAUUGCGCCCGCUGGUAUUCCGGCGGGCAUGCCUGUUCGAGCGUCAUUUCAACCCUCAAGCUCUCCGGAGUUUGGUGUUGGGGCGCCUGGGGCUUUUCGACCUCAGGGCCCUCAAGUCCAUCGGCGGGACCGCCAGGACACUGAGCGCAGUAGUAUUAUUUCGCUCGGUAGGAUCUUCCACGGCGGGUCGAUCUGGCCGCUAAACCCCCCAAUUCUCACCAAAGGUUGACCUCGGAUCAGGUAGGAAUACUCGCUGAACUUAAGCAUAUCAAUAAGCGGAGGA